rnacentral:lncRNA from 1 species
GUGGACUUGAUGGCCAGAGGUCAUCCCCUCAGAUGUAAUGGGAAAGGAGCUCCCGAGUGGAAUCCGUAGUGGGAAGACAACACUUAGGACCGCAUGGCUGGGGCCACGGCAGAGGCACAGAGCAGAGUGCUCUCUGCAGCAGAAGGCCCACAAGAGAUGGCGUCCAAGGAGUAGCAUCGCUCCCCAGCCAUGCUUCCCUGGGAUUUGGGCAAGCCUCCCUGCACACCAAACAUGAGCCUCAGGGCGGGCUGGAGGAGGGGGUUUCCGGUUCUUCUGCCUCUCCUGGGUCUGACCUCGUCGUUGUCAUUGCCCAGGUGGCAUCCAAGGCUCUGCUGUCUGUCCACAGCAUCCGGACCUCUCAUCUGUCUACACCCAUUGCUUCAGGCUUGGUCCCUCCGCCGUCAGUAAUGUCCAGCUUCACUCAGGCCGCUCACCUGCGCUUUACAUUCCAACAUCUGCUGAACUCCUGCUUCUCCCUGCCUCUAAAUGGACCCCAACUGCUCCUGCUCGCCUGAUGGUUCCUGCGCCUGUGCCGGCUCCUGCAAAUGAAAAGAGUGCACAUGCACCUCCUGCAAGAAGAGCUGCUGCUCCUGCUGCCCUGUGGGCUGUGCCAAGUGUGCCCAGGGCUGCAUCUGCAAAGGGACGUCGGACAACUGCAGCUGCUGUGCCUGAUGCCAGGACAGCCCUGCUCUCAGAUGUAAAUAGAGCAACCUUAUAAACCUGG